CUUUGAGUUAGCUACCUAACGCACUUCGUUUCACCUCAUUCGGAGUUCGGACGAAGAAGUUAUGCCCAUUUUCGUAAAAUCUGUCCGGCAGAAAAAGACAAUUUCCAGUAGCUAAUUUUACUGUUCACCCGCCCCAUUUUUUUUUUCUAAGUGUUGGACGAUUUUUUCCAAAGGGCAUAUGUUAUUUCCUAUAUACCAUUAGUUCAAU
rnacentral:lncRNA from 1 species